UCCCUGGUGGUCCAGUGGUUAGGACUCUGUGCUUUCACCGCUGGGGCCCAGGUUCGAGCCCUGGUUGGGGAA